GACGAACGCUGGCGGCGUGCUUAACACAUGCAAGUCGAACGGAAAGGCCCUGCUUUUGUGGGGUGCUCGAGUGGCGAACGGGUGAGUAACACGUGAGUAACCUGCCCUUGACUUUGGGAUAACUUCAGGAAACUGGGGCUAAUACCGGAUAGGAGCUCCUGCUGCAUGGUGGGGGUUGGAAAGUUUCGGCGGUUGGGGAUGGACUCGCGGCUUAUCAGCUUGUUGGUGGGGUAGUGGCUUACCAAGGCUUUGACGGGUAGCCGGCCUGAGAGGGCGGCCGGCCACAUUGGGACUGAGAUACGGCCCAGACUCCUACGGGAGGCAGCAGUGGGGAAUAUUGCACAAUGGGCGGAAGCCUGAUGCAGCAACGCCGCGUGCGGGAUGACGGCCUUCGGGUUGUAAACCGCUUUCGCCUGUGACGAAGCGUGAGUGACGGUAAUGGGUAAAGAAGCACCGGCUAACUACGUG
rnacentral:rRNA from 1 species